UAAUUUUUUUGGUUUUAUCAGGUUUUGUUAGGAGGCAGGUGCCAAAAUUUUUCACAAAUGGGGUUAAAGUUUGCAAUUGUCAUUCUCCUUCUGCUGCCUAUUUUUGCAAUCGUUUCCUCCCUUGUUUGCAUGGAAUCGGGGACAAUAACGGGAAAAGUCCAAGCCAAAGAAUGCGAUGUGUCCAAUCUCCACACUUUAGAUGUUAACAUUACGAUUGAUAUCCAAGACGAAUCAAACAUCACCAUGUCUUACUACGACAAUCUUGACACAAAAAAUGAAGCAGCCGCAAAAAAGGUGGAAUUUCGGUGUUUCAUAACCUCGGCCUCAAGAGAGAAAAGACUGAGCGAAAUGCGGGGUUGCACCAAGAAAGGCGGCUGCGAAACGAUAAAAAGGCGGCUAAUGCGAGCGCACUUAGAGAACAUCAUGUGUAAGGAGUGCAGUAUGAACAUGUGUAAUUCGGCGAAAAAGCUGCUUAUUUUCGCCCCUUUACUGUGUAUCGCUGGACGCUUAUUUUAAAUAAACACGAAACAUCGAACAACUAAUAUUUAUUCACACCAACGAUUUAUUACAACAGUUUGAACAGUGAAACUGACGGCAACAAAAGCGAAACGAAAGCGAGAAGUUGCAACUUUGGGGCGGAAUUGCACAGACUGCCCUCGCAUUCGUAGCAUUUCGCCUCCCCGGUGAAGGGCAGCAUGGUCUUGAGGGCCCCCUCCAUGAGGCCGCAGCCCCCUUUCGGGAGACAUCCCUUCACAAUGGCCGUUUUGUCUACCGGAAGUUAGUUAAAUUUAAGGGAAUGAGAAAAAGCACAAAUUACCUUCGCCUUGGACCACAAACUUGAAGCAGGUCACGUCAAGUUUGGACAAAUCGAAUCUGCGUUCGAAUUUUUUCAAACUUUGGGUGCAGUCCUGUGGGGAAUGUUCCGAGACGCCUCGAGCCAAAGCUUCCAAAUUUGUGGAGUAGCAUUCCAUGCAAAUUGCUGUGUUUUUUUUUUUGGGAAAAAUUAAUAAAACACUUGUUCAACCA